GGAGUUGUGGCUCAGUGGUAGAGCGCUCACCUAGCAUGUGCAAAGCCCUGGGUUCGAUCCUCAGCACCG
rnacentral:tRNA from 1 species